AUUCGGUGACCAGCCAGAGAUCCGUUCAGAGGUCAGAUACAACUUGGGGCUGUCACUGUCUCACUUCAGCUGUUGUGACUGUCCAUACCUUUACUUUCUCUUUCUUUGAGCAAGUAAGACUAAAGAUGUUUUUCUCUAUGCUUAGCUGUCCCUGUGGUAAGUCCAACCUAUUUUCAGUAAAGCUGUGAAAAAUGGAAAAUCUAUCCAGUGUGAUCCCUUCUUCCAACGGCCUACAUCCCUGCAGUUUUCUGCCUGUUUUUAGUAACCCAGUGCCUUCAGGUUUGUCAAAGAUCAAGAGUUUCUGCACAGCAAAAGAAACUACCAUGAGAGUGAACAGGCAACCUACAGAAUGGGAGAAAAUUUUCGCAACCUACUCAUCUGACAAAGGGCUAAUAUCCAGAAUCUACAAUGAACUCAAACAAAUUUACAAGAAAAAAACAACCCCAUCAAAAAGUGGGUGAAGGAUAUAAACAGACACUUCUCGAAAGAAGACAUUUAUGCAGCCAACAGACACAUGAAAAAAUGCUCAUCACUGGCCAUCAGAGAAAUGCAAAUCAAAACCACAAUGAGAUACCAUCUCACACCACUUAGAAUGGCAAUCAUUAAAAAGUCAGGAAACAACAGGUGCUGGGGAGGAUGUAGAGAAAUAGGAACACUUUCACACUGUUGGUGGGACUGUAAACUAGUUCAACCAUUGUGGAAGACAGUGUGGUGAUUCCUCAGGGAUCUAGAACUAGAAAUGCCAUUUGACACAGCCAUCCCAUUACUGGGUAUAUACCCAAAGGAUUAUAAAUCAUGCUGCUUUAAAGACACAUGCACACGUAUGUUUAUUGCAGCACUAUUCACAAUAGCAAAGACUUGGAACCAACCCAAAUGUCCAUCAAUGAUAGACUGGAUUAAGAAAAUGUGGCACAUAUACACCAUGGAAUACUAUGCAGCUAUAAAAAAUGAUGAGUUCAUGUCCUUUGUAGGGACAUGGAUGAAGCUGGAAACCAUCAUUCUCAGCAAACCUAUCACAAGGACUAAAACCAAACACCGCAUGUUCUCGCUCAUAGGUGGGAAUUGAACAAUGAGAACACGUGGACACAGGAAGGGGAAUAUCACACACUGGGGACUGUUGUGGAGUGGGGGAAGGGGGGAGGGAUAGCAUUAGGAGAUAUACCUAAUGUAAAUGACGAGUUAAUGGGUGCAGCACAUCAACAUGGCACAUGUAUACAUAUGUAACAAACCUGCAUGUUGUGCACAUGUACCCUAGAACUUAAAGUGUAACAAAAAUAUAUAUAUAUAUAUAUAUAUAAAGUCUGUAAGAUGUAAUCUACUGCUAUUAUAUAAUCCUAUAGCCCUGACAGUGUGUGAAGUGCUGGGGAGGGAAAGCAUUCUAUAAUCCUAUAAUUAAAUCUCCAUUUGGGGGUUUAGGGGAACAGAGCCCCUGGGUUGUGACCAUCAGAAGAGUCUCAUAGCCUUUUUAUUUCUCCACUUAUGUGAGACAGGAAGGCCAGUGGGCUGGGAGUUGGCUUAUUGCACUUCUCCCAGGUCAGAUGAGGCUCUAGUAAAGUAGUUACAGUUGAGAGCAACCUUUGUUAAAGAGAACAGAAUGCUCUAGGUGUAUUUUAAAGUGGUUGUGUUUCCCCUCCCGGUGCCUAACAUAUAGGAAGCUUUUUCUCUAAUCUUCACCACGAAAACCUGGUAGGGUUCCUGGGGGUAAAAAUAAUAAAAGUGUGGGGCCUUCCAGGGGUUUUAACUCUG
rnacentral:lncRNA from 1 species